UACAGAGGUCUCAAGCGUUGUUCGGAUUCAUUGGGCGUAAAGGGCGCGUAGGCGGCGGGGUCAGUCGGGUGUGAAAUCUUGGGGCUUAACCCCGAAACGGCACUCGAAACUGCCCGGCUGGAGGGCCGGAGAGGAGAUCGGAAUUCACGGUGUAGCAGUGAAAUGCGUAGAGAUCGUGAGGAAGACCCGUGGCGAAGGCGGAUCUCUGGACCGGAACUGACGCUGAGGCGCGAAAGCGUGGGGAGCAAACAGG
rnacentral:rRNA from 1 species